rnacentral:lncRNA from 1 species
GAUUGUGGUUGCCUUCAUCUUCUAGAGAAUUCUUCCAUGAAGAAGGUUCAACAAAUUGGUAGUAAAAUAUGGGAUGGAAAAACCCACAAAAAGUUGGUGUUGUAUCUUCAGAGCUAUUGCCAACAAUCCAGCAUUAAUUACUCUCUGGAGAAUUGAAGCAUCUCAAGAAAUUGCACACACCAUCGCAAAUUCAAACACAAGUGUACUUGAAUUCUGAUGAUCUGUUGCUGAACCUUCAGGAUCUGAACUGGGAGCGAGGUGGAAAUAAGUAACGGAAAAUUGGCUGAAUUAUUUUUUUACCCGUCCGAAUUUAGAUUUUCUUAUCAAGCCAGUGAAAAAGUGAUAUCGCCUCGUGCUGGCUGUGAUCUAUGAAUGGAACCCUCUCUUUUUUCAUACUCCGAAAAUAGUGAAUUUGUUUUGCUUAGGAAACUACUUUCAUUGAAAGAGCAAAUCUUUCUUUAAGGUUUUACAACUUUUGUAUUGAGAGUCGCCUCAAACAUCAUGGUCUGAGGAGUGCAAUGAUGUUUUUGCUUCUGAAGUAAAUGCUUUAUUGCUCAUUGGUUGUGCUUUAAUUUUUGGUUAUCAUCUUGUUCGAUGUCAAAGUGGUGUCAUUUUAGUGCAUCUUUUGAUUACAAUUGA